CCUACCCCUAGAGCCCUUGCAAGUGACUGUGUCACACGUGUGUCAGUAGAUGGCAGAGAGGAGCAAGCCUAUGUCUACACUUGGUGUUCUGACCUAUGAACAUCUGAACAAUUGAUUAGUAGCCUUACACU